AAAUAAAAAAGUCAAAUUAUUCGCACGCUACUCAAGAUCGGCUUGGUAAAAAUUAAUUUAGCUCGCCUCAACUCUUUUCUAAAUGAAAAGAGCUUGGACUUACUGACAUUUGACUCUUUUGGAAAAUGAGAUCGACUCAAGCUCAACAAAAUUUUGACAAACUAAGCUUGAGUACUUCAAACUCGGCUCGACCUAGUUCAUCUACAUUCCUAAUGGUUUUCUUCCCUCGCAUAAUGUAGU
rnacentral:misc_RNA from 1 species